rnacentral:rRNA from 1 species
GAUGAACGCUGGCGGCGUGCCUAAUACAUGCAAGUCGAGCGAACAGACGAGGAGCUUGCUCCUCUGACGUUAGCGGCGGACGGGUGAGUAACACGUGGAUAACCUACCUAUAAGACUGGGAUAACUUCGGGAAACCGGAGCUAAUACCGGAUAAUAUAUUGAACCGCAUGGUUCAAUAGUGAAAGACGGUUUUGCUGUCACUUAUAGAUUGAUCCGCGCCGCAUUAGCUAGUUGGUAAGGUAACGGCUUACCAAGGCAACGAUGCGUAGCCGACCUGAGAGGGUGAUCGGCCACACUGGAACUGAGACACGGUCCCGACUCCUACGCGAGGCCGCAGUAGGGACUCUUCCGCAAUGGGCGAAAGCUUGACGGAGCAACGCCGCGUGAGUGCUGAAGCUCUUCGGCUCGUAAAACUCUGUUAUUAGGGAAGAACAAAUGUGUAAGUACCUAUGCACGUCUUGACGGUACCUAAUCAGAAAGCCACGGCUAACUCCGUG